AAGCUUAAGAGACAGAAUGGAGAGGACCCAGCCCUGCCUCCAUUCUGCCCACUGUUUGCCAGCUUGGGAAACAUUCUGCAGUGUGACGUGCUGCUUGGCAUGCUGGGAGCUGUGCUGCAGUGGGCUAUGGAGCCCAGUGGAGGACACUGGUCUGAGUCCAUGCUGCAGAGGGUGCUGCACUUGAUAGGCAUGGCUCUGCUGGAGGAGCAGCAACAGCUAGAGAACAUUGGGGAUGACGAUGAAGUUACUUUCAACUUCACCCUCAAAAUCUCCCGUAAGUUUUGUACAUCAUCUCACACAAUCUCAAAACCUCAAGCCUGUAGUUAGAUCUGUGGUUCUUGUAUCACAGGUCCUGGUGAAGCCCCCGGCAACACUACAAGCAUCCUGGCUCUGUUAGAGGCCUUGCAGCGCGCGCCUCACUUGGAAGUGCACAAAGACAUGAUUCGCUGGAUCCUUAAAGUAAAAUUACAUCUUGAUUAUGUUUGCAAUUUGCCUUACUCUCUCUAUGCGUGCACCUAAUAUGUCCACCAGGUGGCAGCCUAGCAUGUUUUACAAUUCGCUCACUGAAGGUAGGCGCAACAUACAAAAGAUGAGCGUUUUUACCAUGAAGUUUAAAGCAGUGCUGCUUCAUCAAGACCUGUUUGAAAUCCAAGCAGUGCAACACCGCUCAAGGUGGCGUGGCUGGUAGGCAAAGCAGCACCUCUCACCACUGUGAAGCACAAAUGCUUCACUGUCACAAAGCGGUUUUGCUGCUGAUCAUCUGUAGGUGGCCCUAGGGGUGUUUUGAUGUGGCUUAUUGUGCGUGUUACUUAAAAGCUGUAUGUCAACAUGAAUAUUUAAAUGACAUGUAAGGAUUGCUUACUACACAAACUGAACUUCCAUGUACUGUGAUGUGUGCAUUUUAUUUUCCAUAUAGUGAAAACUGUCAGGACACCUGCACCAGGCAGAACAUGUACAUAUAAAGGCCAUGGUGUAGGCCAAGGCUAAUGAUGUAUUGCAGUAUGUACUUUGAAGAGAAACAGGCAAAUUAAAUGUUAGUAAAAUUGUAAUGCAUCUUCAGUAUUUAAUGGUAUGGUGUGUGUGUAUACUUUUUAGUGCACAAAUGUGUUCUAUUGAACAUAUGCUUAGUUUUGCAAGACUUUGAUUGUGUAUGCAUGUAGUUCUAACUGCACUGCUGUAUCGUUUUCUUGUAAAAGUAUUUUCCUAAAUUAUGUGUCUUUUUCUACACAGAUGGUGGUUAGCAUUAAAACGAUGCGCGAGUGCACAGCUGCUGCACCUCCCUGUGAAGGAACUGGGCACUGUCACAAGGAGACUGUGUGGGACAAAGACAAAGCAUAGAGAAAAAGGAAAGCUGAACUGUGCUGGAAAAAGACCAUGGCUCAAACAUUAGAGAGCCAGAGUCAUUUUAUCAAUAAGUACAUAGAUCUGCUCACGCAGGAUUCAGAGGCUCUGGACGUCUCAGCCUCUACAUCAGCAGAGCAUAGAUACCUAAGCAUGCUCGUAGUGACACAGUGUUCUUUAUAAGUCAACUUGUAUUAUAUUCUCAAUAUCCAGUCAGUACAUUUAUGUCAGUAAAUCCAUGCAUCAACACUUCCUUGACUUUGCUGAGCAGUUGUCUGUUCUUUGUCCUAAAAGUUCUUGCAUUUAAUGGUGGUCUUCACAUAACAUAAGUAAAUUCCCAUCCUUAAACUCUUUAUCUUGCAUAUUCAUUUGGAGCAUUUUCUGUUAGGGUAAAUGAGUAGAGAGGAUCCUAGGCCAUUUUUAGCAAUUUCCUGGUGAUUAAAAAAAGAUGAACCCAUUUAUUCAACAUUGAUUAUUUUAACAAAUUCAGAAGUACCUUAACAUAAAAUUAAGGUUAUAGUGUACUUGUAACCAUCCGUCUCUGCUUGGUACAGCCCCAGUUCAUGUGACGGUGCUCUGGUGUGUGUGGGACCUCGUCGUUGGCGUGCCAGAGGAGGAGAGAGGAGGCAGAUGGAGAUGUGUAUCCUGUGUCACGAAGCGCAGGAGAUCCUACCUGAUGGCGCCGUCAUGGUGCUCGCUGCCUUUGUCCAACGCUCUACGGUCAUGUCCGAGAACCACAAAAGACCCCCUCACAAUCCAGGUAAGGUUAUGGUUUACAGUGUGCAAGUCAAGUAAUUGGAUAGGUUUGAGUAGCCAGUGUGCUUAUUUCUGGAGGAUACAUGUGUGUUCCAGAGAGCUAUGAUCCCCUCUUCAUGCACCCUGACCUGUCCUUUGGUACCCAUACCGGCAGCUGUGGCCACAUCAUGCACUCUCACUGCUGGCAGAGCUGAGGAGUUGGGCAAAAUGUUACUUCUAGACAGCCUUCUACUUAAUCCCAAAUAAAAAGUUUUGCUGCUUUCAAAUGUUUGUGGAUAUAGGCAAUAGAAUCAGCAGCUAACAGUAAAUAGUUUGUCUAGAAAAUAAUAUGACCUCUGUAUGAGCAAUCACAAUAAAUUAGCUAAUAUUAAUCAAUCAGUCUGGAUGUUUUGUGACCGAAAAGUCAAAAAUCUAAUCUGUGAUGUACAGGAAAGUCUUCAUGGAUGUGUGGUGAUCGAUAAGAUGUAGAUCCAAAUUGGAUGUGUUUGGCUUAAAUAUGCGAU